CGUAGGGUGCGAGCGUUGUCCGGAAUUAUUGGGCGUAAAGGGCUCGUAGGCGGUUUGUCGCGUCGGGAGUGAAAACACCGGGCUUAACUCGGUGCUUGCUUUCGGUACGGGCAGACUUGAGGCAUGCAGGGGAGAACGGAAUUCCUGGUGUAGCGGUGAAAUGCGCAGAUAUCAGGAGGAACACCGGUGGCGAAGGCGGUUCUCUGGGCAUGUUCUGACGCUGAGGAGCGAAAGUGUGGGGAGCGAACAGGAUUAGAUACCCUGGUAGUCCACACCGUAAACGUUGGGCGCUAGGUGUGGGGCCUAUUCCAUGGGUUCCGUGCCGCAGCUAACGCAUUAAGCGCCCCGCCUGGGGAGUACGGCCGCAAGGCUA
rnacentral:rRNA from 1 species